rnacentral:rRNA from 1 species
UACGUAGGUCCCGAGCGUUGUCCGGAUUUAUUGGGCGUAAAGCGAGCGCAGGUGGUUUAUUAAGUCUGGUGUAAAAGGCAGUGGCUCAACCAUUGUAUGCAUUGGAAACUGGUAGACUUGAGUGCAGGAGAGGAGAGUGGAAUUCCAUGUGUAGCGGUGAAAUGCGUAGAUAUACGGAGGAACACCAGUGGCGAAGGCGGAUUGCUGGACAGUAACUGACGCUGAGGCGCGAAAGCGUGGGGAGCAAACAGG